CUAAGCUCCCAGCAGUAAUAGCUUUGUCACCACAUGGAGAGAAUUAGCCAGGCUUCCUCAGCCUUUCAGAUGUACUUAGACUCUAACAGGAUAAAGAAGAGCCAGAGGAGUUCUGCUUUCCAAUGACUUACAUCACUCUGCAGACAAUUGGCAGCCAGGGGAGGGGCAGCUGCCACGCUCUUCAGAUAGCUCUCUAUUUAAAGUUCAAAGAGACUGGGUAACAAUAAGGAAGAGGUGAGCGUGGCUGUGACCAAGCCACCCAAGAAUAGGAAUAAUGGCUGAAAAAGAGUCUACAUUUUCACACCUUCUGGUUCCCAUUCUUCUCCUGAUUGGCUGGAUCGUGGGCUGCAUCAUAAUGGUUUAUGUUGUCUUCUCAUAGAAAGGAAAGAAGACAUCAGAUUGACAUCAUUUAGAAGAAUUAAGAAAAACAUGAACAUGACUGAUUAUUAAAUGUGUCUCAUGUUAAAUAACUGCAAUGUUUAACAUCACUUUAUAAAAUUGGAUUAUAAACUAGCAACUUGGUGUGCA